rnacentral:rRNA from 1 species
UACGUAGGCAGCGAGCGUUGUUCGGAGUUACUGGGCGUAAAGGGUGCGUAGGCGGCUGUGCAAGUCUGGCGUGAAAGCCCCGGGCUCAGCCCGGGAAGUGCGCUCGAAACUGCACGGCUCGAGUACCGGAGGGGAGAGUGGAAUUCCUGGUGUAGCGGUGAAAUGCGUAGAUAUCAGGAGGAAUACCGGUGGCGAAAGCGACUCUCUGGACGGCAACUGACGCUGAGGCACGAAAGCGUGGGGAGCAAACAGG